CUACGGGUUGCUGCAGUAGGGAAUAUUGCGCAAUGGGCGAAAGCCUGACGCAGCCAUGCCGCGUGAGUGAUGAAGGCCUUCGGGUCGUAAAGCUCUUUUCUGAGGGAAGAACAUCCAGAGGAGGAAAUGUCUCUGGUCUGACGGUACCUCAGGAAUAAGGAACGGCUAACUCCGUGCCAGCAGCCGCGGUAAUACGGAGGUUCCAAGCGUUGUUCGGAAUUACUGGGCGUAAAGGGAGCGCAGGCGGACAGGUCAGUGGAAAGUGGAAUCCCGGGGCUUAACCUCGGACGUGCUUUCCAUACUGCCUGACUUGAGUUCGUGAGAGGAAGGCGGAAUCCAGGGUGUAGCGGUGAAAUGCUAGAUAUCCUGAGGAACACCAGUGGCGAAAGCGGCCUUCUGGCACGAAACUGACGCUGAGGCUCGAAAGCGUGGGUAGCGAACGGGAUUAGAUACCCCCGUAGUC
rnacentral:rRNA from 1 species